CGAUGCAAAGAAUUGUUUACAAGCUAGAGGCUUCAUGAGUAAGAUAAGUGUAAAUCGCUGCUGCUGCUGCUGCGAUUGCUGUUGCUGUGAUGGCACAGGCAUUCUCUUCAUUUUCCUUAAGUCUGCCGAAUGUUGACAGAUCAGCGAAGACUACCGCGGUGAGGAAGAUGAGGAUUGACCACGGAGCCUCUUAGGAAUGCAACGGCGUUGGUCGCUGGCCAAAGGGUGAAGCUUCACUUUUCUCAGCGACGUUGGUCGCUGGCCGAAGGCAAGAGCGAAGCUUCGCUUUUCUCAACGACGUUGGUCGUGGUUGCGAUUACAACGGCUGCGACGGUAGAGAAGAAAUCUACAGCAAUGUUGCAGUGAUGCUACUACAGCAAAGGAGGAAACUGCAACAGAGGAGGAAGUUGUAGCAGAAGAGGAAGCUGUAGCAGAAGAGGAAGGAAAAUAGUUAUAACGAGGAAGAAAGGUGGGGCAGUGCUGAUGAGCAGCACUAGAGAUGCCGUAGCGGAAGGGAAUGGACGUUGGCACAGAGUGGCAACACCAAUGAUGAAUUGGCAGCGAGAAG
rnacentral:lncRNA from 1 species